AAUAAAUUCAACCUUAUAGAACUCAAGUAAGUUAAAAAUCAUCUUCCAUUUUUGCCUAUUAAGUCAUGUUUAAAGUAUGCAAUCCAUAAUAAUGAUGGAGGAAGAGUAUCAUCGAUUAGUGUUGCUGGUUCAAACUGGAAUGGUGGGAAUUUGGCAGGAGAAUGAUGGUAACAGAGAGAGAUCAAAAGAAAAACGAGCACAAACUGAUGCUAACAGACAUCUCUGGGAGCCUAUUCAAAAAAAGAAAAAAAUACUAUAUAUAUAAUGCUGCUCAGCAUAUCACAUCACAGAAUUGAAGAAGUGGAAAACCGAAGUGUCCAACAAUAAGUAAGUAUUUUCAGAAAGUGAAAAUCACCCCUACCAGCCGACAGUUAGAACUAGGCUAUCAUAAACAGCAUACAUGAAACAUCAACACUCAUCGGGGCGACAUGGCGGUGACAGAGUCUGAGACGACAGAGGCAAGGACACUCAGCAACCACAGAACAUAACUAAAUAACCCCCUUUGUACUAGUUAUUUACCUCUGACAUCCAGCGUUGUUUCGAUUUCCUGACCUCCUAGAAAGAAUCGCCAACGUAGCCAAUUCCUGAAUUGCCACUGAAUUCUGACCGUAUCCAAUUCAGAAAUGGCCUACCUCUUCUUUAAGCCCUGCUUCGAAUCACCCCAAAGAAGCCCGCAUCCUUUAAUAGACCUUUGCCAAAAUUGUCUGCUGAGACUUCUACAGUUCCUCUGGAGACAACUCUCCCUUACCGUGUUAGCCUCCCUGAAACAUGAUCCGAAGUCUCAAUUUUCACCAAUAUUUCUUCAGAACUCUGAAAUACGAAGAACCAAAAUCAUCAGCUGCGAAAUAUAUGCAUAACUGAGGUAACUCGUAAUUCUAGCAUUGAAAAAAAUAUAACGAGCCAUUUAAUUUCACUUAUAAUCUUCUAAUUAAGUAGCAACAACCUUUUUUUAAGGAUGAGUCAGUGUGUUCUGUUUUAACUAUUUCUCUACGUCCACCAUUUCUAUUCUAGGAUUAUCUAUAUAGAAAAUGUGGGCGUCAAAACCUAAGUUUAGUCCUUUUGUAAUGGCUGUCUUAUGAUAUAUCCCUGAUAUAUUUCUAUUGACUCGUCAUCGUUUCUUGAUUUCUACUCUAUUGGCUUCAUAUUCAAGAGGCUUACAAAGUUAUCAUUGAUAGGAGAGACAGAAAAGCAUAUAUACUUUAAAUAACCAAACGAUCUAAGAAG
rnacentral:lncRNA from 1 species